rnacentral:pre_miRNA from 1 species
CAGUGCUGGAGUAUCAGGAGGGAGUGCUCUGGGGCGCCACCACCAUGGUCUGGACUCUGCUUGUCCUCACACUCCUCAAUCAGGGUACUUUUGU